UUCCAAAAAAACAUUUAUUGAGAUAAAAUUAAUAUAAUAAAAUCAGGACAUAUAUAAGCAGUAUGUAGAAAAAAUCUUACAAUACCGCAAUAUACAAUAAGUCCUUAGUACAAGUACAAAAUGCAAACGCGUUUUGACUAAAAAUAGUCUUCCUCAGUGCAACAUAAAGUUAAACAGACCCUCUGUACCCUUUUAUAUCUUCAAUUCCUACUGAAUGUUCAAGUUUUCGCAGUAGAAAUCAACUCCGUUUCCGGAUCGCGGGAAAACGCCAUUCACUU